rnacentral:rRNA from 1 species
UACGAGCGGCGCAACCGUUAUUCGGAUUUACUGGGCUUAAAGAGUUCGUAGGCGGCGCAGCAAGUAGGGUGUGAAAGCCCUCGGCUCAACCGAGGAAUUGCGCUCUAAACUACUGUGCUUGAGGAAGCUAGAGGUGAGCGGAACUGAUGGUGGAGCGGUGAAAUGCGUUGAUAUCAUCAGGAACACCGGAGGCGAAGGCGGCUCACUGGGGCUUAUCUGACGCUGAGGAACGAAAGCCAGGGGAGCGAACGGG